AUGGAGGAACUCAGGGAGAGGCACCCGACUUGGUCUUGGGAUGCAGACAAGACAUCCUGGGAGAGAUGAUAAUGCCUUGAGGUAGGAUGGUGGUGGCAGAGAUGAGGCAAGAUGUAUGGCUCCAGGAUAUACUUGGGGGUAGACUCAGGAGGGCUUUCUGAUGGGCAGUGAGGAAAAGGGAAGGAUCAAAGAUGUCCCCAAAGCUUUUGGACUGAUCAUCUUGAUGGAAGAAAUUGCCUUUAUUAAUAUGUGAUUGCAGUGGUUUUGGCAGCCACAGAGGUUGUGAGUCAGAACUUCAUUCUGGACAUAUCACACUGUUGAUACCUCUGUGAAAUCCAAGAAAUUCAAAUAGGUAAUUAGAUCCUCAAAUCUAGAGUUUGGACUUGUAUAUAGAAGACUACAUCUAUGCAGUCUGGGGUUUGGGCCAUAAUCCCAAAAGAUAAAAAUCCUGAAAACAGAAUUCUGGAAAUAAAUAAUUAAAAAUCAUUUAAAAUACAUUUAUUUAAAAAAUUAUUUAAAAUGCAAUUAUUUACAUUUUAUAAAGUGGACUUAUUUGAGAAACAUAUAUAAACACAACAGAACACUU
rnacentral:lncRNA from 1 species